AUUGAACGCUGGCGGCAGGCCUAACACAUGCAAGUCGAACGGUAGCACAGAGAGCUUGCUCUCGGGUGACGAGUGGCGGACGGGUGAGUAACGUCUGGGAAACUGCCCGAUGGAGGGGGAUAACUACUGGAAACGGUAGCUAAUACCGCAUAACGUCGCAAGACCAAAGUGGGGGACCUUCGGGCCUCACACCAUCGGAUGUGCCCAGAUGGGAUUAGCUAGUAGGUGGGGUAAUGGCUCACCUAGGCGACGCUCCCUAGCUGGUCUGAGAGGACGACGAGCCACACUGGAACUGAGGAACGGUCCAGACUCCUACGGGAGGCAGCAGUGGGGAAUAUUGCACAAUGGGCGCAAGCCUGAUGCAGCCAUGCCGCGUGUAUGAAGAAGGCCUUCGGGUUGUAAAGUACUUUCAGCGGGGAGGAAGGCGGUGAAGUUAAUAGCUUCACCGAUUGACGUUACCCGCAGAAGAAGCACCGGCUAACUCCGUGCCAGCCGCCGCCGUAA
rnacentral:rRNA from 1 species